rnacentral:rRNA from 1 species
UACGUAGGGGCAAGCGUUGUCCGGAAUUACUGGGCGUAAAGCGCACGCAGGCUGACUUAUAAGUCGGUAGUCUAAUGCGGAGGCUCAACUUCCGUUUAUCUAUCGAUACUGUAAGACUAGAGUAUGUGAGAGGGAAGUGGAAUUCCCGGUGUAGUGGUGAAAUGCGUAGAGAUCGGGAGGAACACCUGUGGCGAAGGCGGCCAGCUGGGAUACACCUGACGCUGAGAUGCGAAGGCGUGGGGAGCGAACGGGAUUAGAUACCCG